AUGAACGCUGGCGGCGUGCCUAAUACAUGCAAGUCGAGCGAACAGAUGAGGAGCUUGCUCCUCUGACGUUAGCGGCGGACGGGUGAGUAACACGUGGAUAACCUACCUAUAAGACUGGGAUAACUUCGGGAAACCGGAGCUAAUACCGGAUAAUAUAUUGAACCGCAUGGUUCAAUAGUGAAAGACGGUUUUGCUGUCACUUAUAGAUGGAUCCGCGCCGCAUUAGCUAGUUGGUAAGGUAACGGCUUACCAAGGCAACGAUGCGUAGCCGACCUGAGAGGGUGAUCGGCCACACUGGAACUGAGACACGGUCCAGACUCCUACGGGAGGCAGCAGUAGGAAAUCUUCCGCAAUGGGCGAAAGCCUGACGGAGCAACGCCGCGUGAGUGAUGAAGGUCUUCGGAUCGUAAAACUCUGUUAUUAGGGAAGAACAAAUGUGUAAGUAACUAUGCACGUCUUGACGGUACCUAAUCAGAAAGCCACGGCUAACUACGUG
rnacentral:rRNA from 1 species